AACCUCUGUUCUCUGUAAGCAGGGAUAGUGAACGUUUGAAGGGGGAAAAAGCAAAUCCGCCUUCGUCCACACGGUUUCGCAGGCUACCCCUUCCCAAAGGUGUGCUGGCACAUUAAUACGCAGCUGAGCAGGUAGUUUCGGGAAGCGGGGGCUCCUGCGCCCCUUAGGACGGCCAACAUCCAAAUAUGGGCAUGGAGCCUCUUCAUCCUGCCUACAGGUAAAUGGAGACUCCGCUCUUUCUCACCGGGUUCUAAACCCCUAAGGGGUUUUAGAGGAAACGCCCACAAGAGCGAGCGCGUUUGUCCUGGAAAAACUCGGCGUUGAAAUGCCCCCUACUUUGGAUGGCGUUAUUGCGGGUGAGAGUUAUCCAUCCAUCCAUCCAUCCAUUUUCCAAACCGCUUAUCCUAUUGGGUCGCGGGGGGUCCGGAGCCUAUCCCGGAAGCAAAGGGCACGAGGCUGCGAACAACCCAGGAUGGGGGGCCAGCCCAUCGCAGGGCACACUCACACACAAUUCACUCACACAUGCACACCUAUGGGCAAUUUAGCGACUCCAAUUAGCCUCAGCAUGUUUUUGGACUGUGGGGGGAAACCGGAGUACCUGGAGGAAACCCCACGACGACAUGGGGAGAACAUGCAAACUGUAUGAGGUCAUAUAUACAAAUACAGAACUCGAGGAACAGAUUUAGCAAACUAUUACAAAUUGUUAUGGUCAGCUGACUGUGACCUUCUCCCCCUAGCCCCCCUCACACAAAUAUCAUGUAUUGUUUUGCAUCAAACAGUAAUACCUAUUGUUGCUGCAAUAUUUUACAUGGUAUUACAUUUUAUUAAAUAAUAUACGUAUGUUAUUUAAAUUGACAUUAAUGUUAUUAGUUAAUACCAUUACUGUCACUUCAUUUUUUGAGAACUGCUAUUUGUUUCUUCAAGGGUGUUGUGUGUCUGGGAGGGUUAGGACUAGGUCUCUGUAAUCAGAAGGUCGUUGGUUCAAAUCCUGUGGUUGGUAAAGUAAGCUUUUUUUUUAUUUUUGGGCUCUUCGGUCGUUUCAGGGACUGGCUUGACCAUGUUUUCUUAGCUAUAUGUUGCUUUGGACAGAAGCAUUUGCCAAAUACAUACAUAUGACCGAAUCAGACAUUUACCACUCAGUAAGUAUAUGAAGCUCAGUUAUCAUGUGAUGUUUCCUGCUGGUCUUGAACCAUUUAUACAGCAUCAAUUAUGCAGAAGGUGGUGGUAGAAGGAAUAUUCUGUGAUGUUUCCUUUUUCUGUCCUUUCCGAGACAUUUGUUGAUUGGUAUCAGUUCAUGUCUGUAAGCCGAAUACUGCAAGUCAGGAGAUCUGAACAAUUAUUUGAUGGGUGGGACUGCGGCAAUGACUAUUUUGUGGUCUAAAUGACAAGGUGUGUUAAAUUGAAUUGUACUUUUUAUAAAAGUAACCGCAGUUUCAGAGUAAAAUGAGAUUAAGAUUCCAGAGUCUCUGAAAAAGAUGAGGUUAAAAAUAAGUUUGACUUCAAACUUUUUAGUUCCUUGUUAAAUAAUUUAUGAUGGUGAGAUAUUGAUCUAUUACUCUUAUUGCUCUUUUCAUACUCACAACUACUUGCAUUAAUGGAGAAUCUCUUAUGCUGAGUAUGGAGAUUAGUUAAGUGGUUACUGGAAUGAGUAUAUGAUGCAUCUGUGUGGUUAAAUGUUAUAGGAUCAAAAUAGGCUUUAUCUUCUAAUACAUGUUUUUUCUAACAAAAGUGCAACCAAUUGUUGAUAAUGAAAUUAUGGGUUUUUCUCACAGGCUAUAGCAUGAAGCAUAAAAUAAAUGAAGCUUAAAGCCAAUGCUGAACCUUUUCCCACCAUCUUGACAAUACUUAUUCUGAAUUGCAAAUAAGCUGUAACUGUGUUUAAAUACUGUAACCUUUGGAAAUAGCCUUGUACAGGCAGGGCAUCCUUCCCUUUAAUGUAAUUACUCAUUAAGUCGCAUUAAGUCAUUAAUUGUUAAAUCAGAGCAGGGAGGACAGAUGUUUUAUGUCUUGUUCAUGGGAAAUUGAACUGCUUUUUAAUAUUAAAUGUUCCACACUUGAGGUCAUGUUCUUCAGAAUGUAUUUGUAUCCUUAAAAUGAAAUAGCUUGUAUUUAUUCUGUCUGACUUCCAAACGCAUACCAAGUGCUGGGCCACAGGUUUCCACUUAUCCAUCCAUCCAUCCAUCCAUACAUCCAUCCAUCUAGCCAUCCAUUUACCUUCAAACUGUUUAUCCAGCUCAGGGGCACAUAGUGCAUAUCUUUAUUGCCUUUCAGAUUUGCAUGUGUAAUACCAUUUCUGACAUGCCUUCCCUUUCUUCCCCAGCAGUGUUGCAGCUCGCCCUUAUAAACCGAUAAUACGGGAAGUCAGAUUACAUGCAUGAGCUCUGUGCUGCGGGGCUCAGGUGUGAAACACACAGUCCGGGAACAGAUUGGUAGGAGUGGCUGGGUUCUGCUUCCCGUCCUUAUGACACCAUUUCCAGAGCCACCCACAUAUGAACUGUACUUAUUGAAUGCAGUUUUCCUAUAAACAUUCAUCCAUCCAUGUCCUUUCAUUGUUAACAUUGAAACAGGCCGACCCUGAGACAGUUCAGGAAUAGAAUCAGAAAUAUGUAGGCCUGCGUUUCUUUGGUGCAGUUGAUAAGGUUGUUAAAAAUAUGUAGAAAUAUACAGGCGUAGCCUACAUAUGCAGUGUAGGUAAUAUCAUGUCAUAAUUUAAUUUUAACCUUGUGAGUCAAAUCCAUUUAAGCUUAGACGCGAACUACAUGGCCAGUACCCGGUUCUCUAAAAUGAAGUGUAAAGUUUGAAAUUUCAGUCAGAGCUAUAACCUCCUUUUAUUUCCCCCUAUCUAUUGAGUUUAUUUCUUCGUUAAGACAUUCACCUUCUGUUAUUAACAAUGUCUAAAUUCACCGACUGAAGAUGAAAGGCAGUCGAUAAUCACACAUCUGAGUCAUAAAAAGUCACAGGCUGAAUCACAUGCCUGUUUCAUGAUCAUGCGAAUAGAUGCUCGAUUGUUCGUUGAAAAAAAUAGGGGGCGUAUUAAUUGCUGCCCACUUUUUUGGUGCAGUCUUUGUUUUUAUCAAGUGAUAGUUUAUCUGAUGACAUUUGGAAAAAAAAUACGGCUGGUAGGAAUAGUUUAAAGUGUUGAUCACCCCCACAAAUAUCUUUUUAACGUGUGCAAAGACAUGGAACUUUGAAAUGUGGAUUUUAUAACUUGUAUUAACUGCCUGCCUUUUACACUGCUCUUCACUGACUGCAGACAUUUUCAUGCUGUCGGCCUACUGAUAGACACAGACUGAGGCAGCAGAACAUUUAUUUUCCCUUAUCGAAAGGGCAAAACACACGACAUUGCGAUUCCUAAGCAGGAUUUGACUUUGCUUUAAUUACACAGAUGCUUCAAAUUAAUCUUCAUGGGAAACUAAAUGAGGGGGGUUUUGUUUAACAUUCUUUCGGCCUGAUUAUCUUUGUGUUUGAGUGCGACCCCAGUGAGACUGACGAGCUGCAUUUGUAAAGCAAACUUGUGGAGAUGCGCUAAAAUGCCUGUGAGCUGCAGCCAGCCCAUCUUCUCGCACCAGUAACCCCAGCUCUUCACCUGCAACAUGUUUGUUCACAGUCUGCUCAUCACCUAUGCAUCUCGUUGACGUUCCCUAAGCAAACUAUUUUGUUGUCGCCGAUAAAAAGCAAGCCCGUCCACGUAAUGGCCUGCGUUUCCAAAUUUAUUUUAACUAGCACUUGAUAAGCUAGGUCAUGUUGUUCUUUUUGUUUGUUAAAAUGGUUUUGUUUGGCAUCCAAUUUGUGCAUACGGCAUACUGUGCUGUUGUAGAAUUAUACUAUACAUUUGGCUUUGAAAAACCAGACAGUUGCUUUGAAGAGUGUCACAUUCAUGUCCUUAAGGGAUGGAAGGGUUCACAAUACAACCAUUAUGACUGGAUACCCCCCCCUCCUCACACACACAUUCCACAAUAUAGUGUAGAUAUCACUGACCUUGCUAAUGAUACAAAAGCCUUGGGAUACAAAUGGUUUCCUGGCAGCUUUGCUAUGAAGGUACUGUUUGGUGUUCAGAACAAGGCAUGAAACAAUGUAAUUGCAUGUAGUAAAUAUCAUCCAGUAUCCCCAGUAUUACUGAGGAGAGGUGAAGCAUCUCUCUGUUAACUCUUAAGCUCCCGUAUUUAAUUUCUAACAUUUUCAACAAAACACUGUUAUUUUCAUCUGCAGCUGUUAACUUGCGAUUUUCUGUUGUGCCUGAUUAUGUUCCACCCAUCCCCUAUAUAAAAGGUUAAAUGGGUUGCAAUAAAUGCAUUCUAAAUCCUUAGUUUGCUAGUGUGUUGGCUUAGAAAAUGCAUUUUAAGGGUGCUAUGUAUAUCAUCAUCAAACUUUAUUUGCAAUGAUCAAAAUAUGAAUACAUUUUUCUACAAUAAAAACAUUGAAAAUGAUUUAGGGAAAUACGGUUUCAAUGUCUAAUAGUAAUACACACAACUCUUUGUGACAGAGUGUGUAUUAAUCCACUAGACAUUAAUUUAACCGUAGUGUGUUCGUUAGUAAAAAAAAAAUAACCCCUCUCUCUUUUACAGCCCAUUUCUAAAACUCAUUUAAUGAUUAACAGUGUAUUUAUACACUGCUGCUGAAAGAGAAACUAAAUUUUUUCUUCCUGCUUGAUGGUUAUAACAAAUAGAACUUUAACCAUGAUUCUACCAAGGCCAUUAGCCUGGGCCACUGAUAAUAGCCGAUUGCUAUUCAUUUACUAAACUUGAAAAUGUCUCCUGGAUUUUUCCUCUCAUAUGUUAUUUUUUAAAAUGCUUUAGCACUUUUCUCCUUCAUCUACGUAUUAAUAACUACAAAUUAACUCAGAAAUCGUACAACGCAUGUAUCUACCAUUUCCUUGCUAUACAUGUGUUGACUUUUUAAUGGACAAAGGUUGAGUUACGUUUAACUUUUGUCCGCCUUAGGUAACAGACACUGGCUGUGAAAGUAAACAUCAUGUUCAUAAAUUAUGCAUUUAGCUGAAUGUUUCGGACUCAGGAUGCAAACUAUUAACUUCUCUGCUGCGGGAGAGAAACUGGGUGGAGAGAGAGAGCAUAUGGGGGUUGGGUGGUUAUUUGCUCGUGUGAAGAGAUGCUUUAUGGCACCAUCAAAGCAUGUUCCUGCAGGUCAGAAUCGAGAAGAAUAACUAGCUUUUAUCUGCACAAAACACCUGAAGUAAAUACAAGCCUUAAUUAAUAUAACAUGAGACUUUUUUGUCCAUACCUACCCAAGUUGAAAUAGGUAAAAUAUAUGUUUAAAAUCGUGAACAAAUAACUAUACACUUCAUAAACUGUGAAGAAUUCUUCCUCGAAAAAGGAACUCGGAAUCCGUGGUUUUUAUCUGCAAAGCUGCUUCCGCUGUAGCAUAUUGACUUCAUCAAUGUCCUUAAAAGCCCAUUAACACAGAAGCUUUUAGAUAGCAUAAAAUGUUUAUGUAGCAUGACCUUUAAAGUCUUAUUAUGUUGUGGAAGCAUGCAUCUCGACCACGUCUCUUUAUCCUUGAGGAAAGUUUCAGCAUGUUCAGAUUCACCCGAAAAAAAUCACGGCCUCUUGUUUCUGUGGCAGAGACAAGCACCAUCUUGCAUUUGUAGGGGUAUUGUUUCCUGGAAUGUGCUCCGUGUCUCCUAUCUCACGCUGAGCCACAGAAAGUCCCUCCUGGCUAAAGACGGCGAUGCGUCAGUGACUCUUAGGCUGCCUUUUCUCAUGUUAAGGUUCAUGAAUUAAAUGAUCCACCAGCCGUCCCCCCUUCCCCCCCAAUACAGAAUCAGGCGUCUAAUGACAGGGUCCCUGAGCUCAAAGGGGGAUCUUGUACACACAUGCUGUGGGCAUGUGACUUCAGAAUGACGUCACAGCUAGACAAAUGCUGCGAGACAUAAAGUGUAGUCGGUUGUGGGGGAUGGUGCAGUUCAUAGUGGGAGACGGUGUUGCCAGCAGGAAAUGGUGGCGCGCAAUUCAACAUCUCGUGGCAUGAGGGAGAUUUCGAUCUGCCUGAGGAGCUGGAGGAGUUCUAUCUUCCAGCCUUCUGAGAUUCUUCCCACAGGAUCUCUGAAGCUUCCCUUUUGCAGUAGAGUGCUUCACUAUUUUUCCCAAGUGUGGCAGUUUGGUGCCACAAAACAUGACAUGACGGCACGCUCCAUCUGUGUCAUGAAACGUUGACGUUCGAUUUACACAUCAACGCCAUUUCCUCCCGUGCUGCGUGUUCUCACAGUACAUCACUUUAUCAGAUGAUACAACGUAGGUUAUCAGUUAUUUUCCACAAUUUAAAACAGUCAAGCAGUGAUGCUCUCUAAAGCAGAUGAGUGUAGGUUUUAUAAUAGUUUCAUUUUCAAUGUGAUGUUGAACAAAAGAAUAUGUUAAAAAAAAUAUGGUUGGAGAUUCCCUUUAAAGAGAAAGUGGAAUUAUGCUUAUAUACAUAAAUAAUGAAAUAAUAUACACAAGGAUUAUGUUAAUGGAUAAAGUACAGCUACUUAGUAGACAUGUAAGCACUAUCGGUAAUGAGGCGUGGGUGGGGAAAAUAUUACAGACUGUCCACUACCCUAUUAUGCUCUCUCAGAAAGUGCCUGGUGCUUUUGUAGUAAUCACAUUACUAAAACAUUACUUGAACUACAAAACGAGGCAUCUAUGUGUUCGAUAUAUAUAUAUAGAUCAAUCUGCUUUACUGUACUUUUUCCCUGAAGUAUACUGUAAUAUGUCUUUCUGCCAGUCAGAUUAAAUGUGUAAAACAUUGACAUUUACAGUAAUAUAAUUUUAAAUGAUAAGUCACCUUCAAGAAGUUACUUAUUUUUUUGGUUAAUAUCGUGGCCUUUAAUAUGUUCAAUCACAGUCAAAGGUCACAGUAACAGUCACCUCCAACAAGUCAGAACAGGAAAUGAUGUCAGGAGGUUCUAUAAACAUUUCCUUAAGCGAUUCACUUUGUCAUCAUUAAACACGUGAACAGAAUAGAAUAGGAUAUGUUGACCAGGAAGUUAUCUUCAUUUUAAAUUAAAAUGGACUUCCACCAGUUUCAAGCAGUGCAACGUUUAUUAACUAAAAAUACCAAACAUUACAGAGAUAGUCAUUUUAUCCUGUCUAGCUAGCGUGAUAUCUACUGAUUAACUGAUUUCUAUGAUAAGAUUUUAUCAAAUAAGAAAUGGUCUUGGUCAAAACUAUUGGAAACUGCAUCUAUGCUCUCUUGCUGGGUGUUUUAUAUGUAUGACUUUGAGAGGUAGACUGAACGCUGUGUCUUAUCAGGUGAAAACCCCAGGUUAGCUUCGACCUACAGGUGUGGACACACAGACGCCCAUUGUUUUAAGGCAUACUGAUGCAUGACAGAAGACAACUAAUCUGAUUACACAGAUGUUACGUAUUGAUAUAUGUUGAAGGCAAUGAGACGAAAUAUAAAAUAUUUAACAGACGUGGUUAAAAAAUGGUACAAGUUAUCAUAUGUCCAGGCUUAUGCCCAACAGUAGGUGGCGUAGUGAUUAAUGACAUGAAGUUGUCAGGCAAACAUUACAUUGAACACAAUACCCUCUAGUGGUGGCAGAAGGGAGCCUUUGAAACUGACAAGUCGUGGGAUUAUUUUGUGUUACCAAUAACCAACACACUGGAUGGGGGGUGGAAAGUUGUUCAGCGGGUUAGGCCUCCAUAUCUGUGAUCAGUAGGUUGUCAGGUCAGGCCCUUACAGAAUAAUGACAUGCUGGGGCCUUGAGCAAGGCCCUUAACCCCCCAUUGCAGGGGUGCUGCACACUGGCUGACCCUGGGCUGUGACCCCCAAGCUUGCUCUCAUUUUUCUAUGUGUUUGAUAGAGCACUGUAUGGGGUAGGUGAGAAGGGAACUGCCAUGAAUCGAUACAUUAUCACUGUUAUAUUCUACUUUACUUAGCUCUCAUUGGCUGCUGGUCCAUAUAAGAUGUAGCUAAGGAACAAAUCAGUCAUGUUACACUGUACUAUAAAUUGGCUCUAAAGACCUUCUGCGACAGGACUUCUACAUAUAGAUAAAUUCAGUAUUUAUAGCUUACAAGUGAUACACAAUGCAUUUAAAGAUACAGAAAUUAUAUUUUUGCAAGGAGAUGAUCAUUUGUAUGCAGUUACUGUGAAAUUCCCUAGAUCCUGUGGUGCCCAUUCACAGUCUACAAUAGGGCUGUGUUUAAAAUGAAGCUUGUCAUCAGUUUGAAUUGAUAUUAUGAAAGGCGUUCGUGUCAUUAAACAUGGCUCCUUAACUGGGAACAGCUUGAGCCAGAACUGGCAUCUAAAGUUAAUUAUUUUUAACAAUAGUAGAUAGCAUGACUUAUUUAUGUAGCUGCACUGCAGCCCUCCUUUCCGGCUUCCUGCCGUUGAAUACUUGUCAAUGGUGGGAACUCAUCUGUAUUUCCAGUAAAGAUGACACUGUAAACAUUUCCUUAAGCGAUUCAUUUUGUCAUCAUUAAAUACGUGAACAGAAUAGAAUAGGAUAUGUUGACCAGGAAGUUGUCUGCAAGCAAGAAAGUGUACAGUAACAUAAGACAAUAAAAUGAAUAUAAUAAUGCUACCUAAUAAUAAUUAAAUUUUCUGUAUUGCUUAUCCAGUGGCCAUAUUUCGCUCUGUUUUCCCGAUGUCACAGUGGAAGGUGUACAUGAUGUUGCUCCCGGCUGUGUAGCAAUACCAUGUAACGCAGCGCGAACAACUGCCAAAACUGCACAUUCUAUGGCCUCUAAGUGAGCGGAAUUUAUGGCGUCAAAAAGUGCGCAUAAAAACCACGCGCGCAUGCGCUCGCGAGCAGAAAAUCCAUGCUCUCUACGCGCUCGCGAUUGCACAGCAUUCAGUCGCUCGCUCGCUCGGCGUUAAAUUAGUGCCAAAAGUCGAACCGCUCGCGUGCUGAAAACCCAUCCCCUCUACGCGCUCGCGUUCGCUGGACCCUAUCUACGCGAUCGCGUCUGCUUUGGUAGAAGAUGAAGAUAAUUGACCAAUGGAUGUGGGAUUCACACUGUCAUGAAGUCGGAGCAACUCAGAUGCCACCUUCUCGAAAGUCUUCUGCAUAAAAUGGAAAUGGGAUUCAGCGCGACUCCACUAAAUUUGGAUUAUCUUUAGUUCCUUUGUCAUCAGGAGCUGUAUCUUCUGCAGGCCUUGUCUAAUCACAUUGAAGUACCUCCUGCUAUCACCCUGGCUUUGCAAGAGCUCUUUGACCUUGUGAGGGCACAUCUGGAACGUCCAGCCCCAUGUGUCACACAAGAAGUCACUGCCACCAAAGGACGACCCAAGAUUUUGAUUGAAGAACAACGUUUGAAAGAAAUGCUCCAUACACAACUUCCUGUGCCUUGCAUAGCCACACUGAUGGGUGUUUCAAGAAGAACAAUCUUAAGAAGAAUGAAAGAGUAUGAGCUCUGUGUUAGGGACACAUAUAAUUCCAUCAGUGAUGAGGAACUUGACAAUUUGGUUUCUUCUGUCAAGAAUGAUCUACCAAAUGCAGGCUACAAGAUGGUCAGAGGGAGGCUGCAGUCAAUGGGCUACAGGGUUCGGUGGAGAAGAGUUGCAGCCUCCAUGCAUAGGGUUGAUUCUAUGGACAUCAUAUCAAGGUUAAGUCUUGGCUGUGCUGUACGCAGAAUGUACUCUGUACCAGGGCCCUUGUCUCUGGUACACGUGGACACAAACCACAAGUUGAUCCGGUUUGUAUUAACAUCAAAUUUAUUUGAAGUUUGUUCAUCUACAGCCCUGGGUGGAUUGGUGUGAGGUGGUGGUGGGGCUUUGGAGAAGAUUUCCUGCCGAUCAACACUGGCAACUUAUAUUUAUGUGUCAUGGAGGUCUCGGGACUCACAGAUAUUCAGAGACAUGUGGAUAGUUUACCAGUGUUUUUCAGCAGGAAAUAGUUAUUACUACAAAUUGUCACCCCCCCCACACACACACACAGAAACUGGAUCUGGCUAUAGUGGGAAAAUCUUUUUUUAUUAUUAUUUGUGAGAACUUGAAAGCCCUUAAAUUGCUUUCAGCAAAGUAAACAAAACUUGGAAAAAAUAUAUGUUCAUUCACCAACAGUUUCUAAUCUGGGGUCUAAAGUGGUCAGGCUUGCAAGUGUAUUUGGUUAUUUGUCUAUCCUAGCCUGUUGCAGUGUAUAUUUCCUGUAUAUUUUGCAUGUAAAAAUGUUGUUUGUUAUGUCAGUGCUUAAUAUUAUCAUGUAGUCUUCAUGAACUUUCUUCAUCUUGGCCAGGGACUGCAUUUGGAAAGUAGCCACUUGACUAAAAUUGGCACAUUUUCAGAAAUGCCAGCAACAAUACUGAUAAUGAACACCCCUCUAACUGACUCUCAGUUGGUUUAGAAAAAAGACUUUUAAGAGAAAAGAAAGCCUUCCUUUGGUUUUGCAUUUUUCUCUUUUUUGUUGGCUGUGCACAAUAUAUUAGAAGAAUACCUUACAAUUAUAUUAGUUAAGAAAUAACAGAUUGCGUAUAUACAAUAUUAAGGUGAUAACAACAACCCUCACUGUCUCUAGGUGCUGCUUCAGACAGGGCAUUCUGCAGCAGGGACACCACCCGUCGUGCAGCAUCCUGCAAAUCUCCCUAUCACAACAGCCCACAUAACAGAAUAACAUUAGUGUAUGAUUCAGUAGGGCUAGUCCAGGUCUGGAAAGUAGUUGGGCCAGAUUUUCAAACCAAGAAAUUUAGCUGGGCCAGACAUUUUCAGCAGCCCAGUAAGCAGCAGGUAAUGGCGUUUUAAACAAACACAAAUCAAGGUACAUUAUUUUAAAAAGCUACAACUGAACAGAGUCUGAGAGCAGAGCAAUAUUUUUUUUCCACUUCUGAAAUAAGGAAAAUAUUUUGGUCGUAUCUGGCCUAGACGCAUCUCAAAGUGCAUAAAAAGAAAAAAAAUGCCUAUUAGAUGGUAAACUGCCAGAUAUAAAGAAAAAGGGAAAAAUCGGCUAUAAUCAUCAUCCGCUUAUCAUCAUCCGGGCUCACCUGGAGCUGCUCCCGGAGGUGCCGCUAUGACUCAUGGGUAACAUGCCGGAAUGGGACGGCACCUGUAGGCUGGACCAGUUGUCAUGGGACGGCAACAUGGACAGACAGGUAGACGAGCUGUCUGACUAAGCAGCUGCAAGUAUAAAACAAUAAAUGAAGCAGGUAUGUGGUGGGCAGUGUUACAGCGUCCUUAAUAUGGUCAAUACAGAAAAGGCACAUCAUCAUGUUAUGUAUAUACUGCCUCCAGUUACUUAAUGCCUAACUUCAAUACAUUGAUUGAUUUGUUCACUGUUGUAGCCUGUGUCAACUUUCCUUUCAGUCAGAUGUAAAGUCAUUUCUGUUUUUGUUCUGUGGAGUUUUUUUUUGAACAGCAUAUGGCUGAAUUCUGUUAAACCUCAGAUUGAAGAAAAUUGUCUUAAUUGAAAAGCAAAUAUCAAAAACUCAGUCCACAGGAAUGUUUUUCAGACGAUUUCUGUGGAUUUUUUGAAAUUUCACGAAAUUCCAUCGCUUGAUUACAUAAACACUGAGUGAGAUUUCAUUCUCAUUACUGCAACAUAUGAAGAGGAUUAUGACUUAUUACUUUAGGUUAUCGGACUGAGUGAGUUUUGGAAAUUUGCUCUUCAAUCGAUAACUGAAGCAGUGCUGUGAAUGCAGAGGUUAUAUGCGUCGCAUAUCAACAGAACUGUAUGUUUAUGUCGUCUUAAUUAUUUUGAUUAAAUGUCUGACUAGUCCCAAUAUGUGUGAACAUACUUGGCCAAAUAAAGCUGAUUCUGAUUCAGUUAGAGGGUAAUGGUCGGUGUGCUGUACUAUCGUGGUGACCCACACAGAGAGCUUAGGACCAUGAUUUCAGUGUGCGCUUGUGUGAGGGGACAGGCAGGGCGGCUGCUCACUGGGUGAUGCACUCCUGUGGGUAUAGGGGCUGGGAUAGGGUGCGGAUCGGUUACUCCUCAAGGAGGAAUAACGGUCACAGCCGUGGGGGGAGGAGAAGGAGAGGGUGCUCCCAAACUGGGGGUGUGGGUUUGAUGAAGAGCAGAGAGACCCUGAGCCUGGGAUGAACCAGCUGCCUACUGAAACGAAAGCGGAUAAAGACAGAAACUAGAACCUCAAACUAAACAACACAAACAACAAUAUCAAGUUAUAUUCAAUCAUUAAACAGUUAUAUAUUUAAUCUAAACAAUAGUAAUAAAUAUCGUUUCGAUUCAAAAUAUCAUUUACGGGUGAAUCUUAUGACUUGCAUUGGGAAACAGGAAAUGGGCCAAGCUACAGGGCCAGUUCAAAGGCAUAGUGCGAGGCGCUCAGAAGGGGGUGAAGUCUGGGCGGAGUCAGCUAAAGAAGAAAAAGGCCUGACCUUUUUCUGGAUGCUGUGGACGGUGUUUGUGUGUGAGCUGCAGCUGCAUGUUCCUUACAUUUUUUUAUCAACACCAGCACCCUGAGGUUUGGCCUGGACUGGGUCCUGUCCUGCACGGUUGAAGGCAUGUUGACUGAUGGCCAGCCCGUGUUCUGUUGGAUCCCACAGAAAGGAAAUGGGAAUCCCAUUUGGAUCGGAUGCUGACAGUUGAAAAAAAAAACUAAUGUCUGUGUGUUAUGAAAGAAUAUCAAUAAAUGUUUCCGAAAUGG